AGCAGAGUGGCUCAGUGAACAGAGCCCGGGCUUGGGAGUCAGAGGUCAUGGGUUCGAAUCCCUGCUCUGUCA
rnacentral:tRNA from 1 species